rnacentral:rRNA from 1 species
AAACUCAAAUGAAUUGACGGGUCCCGCACAAGCAGCGGAGCGUGUGGUUUAAUUCGUUGCUACACGAAGAACCUUACCUGGGUUUGACAUAGAGGUGGUAGGGAAGCGAAAGCGGACCGACCUUCGGGGAGCCUCUACAGGUGUUGCAUGGCUGUCGUCAGCUCGUGUCGUGAGAUGUCGGUUAAGUCCGCUAACGAGCGCAACCCUCGCUGUGUGUUACAAGUGUCACACGGUACUGCCGGUAUUAAGUCGGAGGAAGGUGGGGAUGACGUCAAGUCAGCAUGACCUUUAUAUCCAGGGCUACACACACGCUACAAUGGUCAGUACAAUAGGUUGCCAAGCCGCGAGGCGGAGCCAAUCCUAAAAAGCUGGCCUCAGUUCAGAUUGCAGUCUGCAACUCGACUGCAUGAAGUUGGAGUUGCUAGUAACCGCAGGUCAGCUAUACUGCGGUGAAUACGUUCCCGGGGAUU